GUUGUAUCUUUCAAAAGAAGACAUAAUGAAGACCUAACCCUCGGUCCCUCAGAACGUGGCCUCACUCGGAAAUGGGGUCUUCAUAGAGAAUUUUCCAGAAGCAGGACUGCCCUCAGAGGCCAGAAGUUAUGUCAGGUCCUCCUAGGGCUGUAAGCCACCUGCCAUUGGUGCUGGAAACUAAACUCGGAUCCUUUGGGAGAGCGAAGCAAAACUCUGCUCUGUGAACCACGGGAGGCCAGGUGUCUGCAGGAAAUGGCACGUGGCUUCAAAACACGUCCACGCUGGCUUCACCCUCAAGGCAGCGGACUGUUGUGAAGAAAGGAUCAGACAUGCUCCCAGGGAGUUCCAAACUGUGGUGAACAGAGGGAAGAGGCUCGAGUCAGAAUUGUGGCUUUUAAUUUUUAAUUUUAUCAACUGUGAUUUCAUUGUCUGAACAGCUCAGAAGGUAAGUCUCUUGUUCCACAUUGGAAAUGCCCUUGACACCCACCAAAGAACAAGAUACCCUUUCUUAAGUCCUGGGAGCUAGUUACAGGAUUAAACAAAAAGCCAGGACCAAAUGUGCUUUAAAGUAAAAACAUUGCUGAACAAAAAGACUACUUUCACCUCAAAGGGAGUAAAACAUAGUUUAUUCUCGAGUCAAAUAUGAGUAGUCAUAGCAAGGGG
rnacentral:sRNA from 1 species